AGGGAAACCGAGUCUUAACUGGGCGUUAAGUUGCAGGGUAUAGACCCGAAACCCGGUGAUCUAGCCAUGGGCAGGUUGAAGGUUGGGUAACACUAACUGGAGGACCGAACCGACUAAUGUUGAAAAAUUAGCGGAUGACUUGUGGCUGGGGGUGAAAGGCCAAUCAAACCGGGAGAUAGCUGGUUCUCCCCGAAAGCUAUUUAGGUAGCGCCUCGUGAACUCAUCUUCGGGGGUAGAGCACUGUUUCGGCUAGGGGGUCAUCCCGACUUACCAACCCGAUGCAAACUGCGAAUACCGAAGAAUGUUAUCACGGGAGACACACGGCGGGUGCUAACGUCCGUCGUGAAGAGGGAAACAACCCAGACCGCCAGCUAAGGUCCCAAAGUCACAGUUAAGUGGGAAACGAUGUGGGAAGGCUCAGACAGCCAGGAUGUUGGCUUAGAAGCAGCCAUCAUUUAAAGAAAGCGUAAUAGCUCACUGGUCGAGUCGGCCUGCGCGGAAGAUGUAACGGGGCUAAACUGUGCACCGAAGCUGCGGCAGCGACGCUUAUGCGUUGUUGGGUAGGGGAGCGUUCUGUAAGCCUGCGAAGGUGUCCUGUGAGGGAUGCUGGAGGUAUCAGAAGUGCGAAUGCUGACAUAAGUAACGAUAAUGCGGGUGAAAAGCCCGCUCGCCGGAAGACCAAGGGUUCCUGUCCAACGUUAAUCGGGGCAGGGUGAGUCGACCCCUAAGGCGAGGCCGAAAGGCGUAGUCGAUGGGAAACGGGUUAAUAUUCCCGUACUUGGUGUUACUGCGAAGGGGGGACGG
rnacentral:rRNA from 1 species